rnacentral:tRNA from 1 species
GAGGGUAUAGCUCAGUGGUAGAGCACGUGCUUAGCAUGCACGAGGUCCUAGGUUCAAUCCCCAGUACCUCUA